GGAGAGGUGGCCGAGUCUGGUUUAAGGCGCCGGUCUCGAAAAUCGGUCUCUGAGUUAGCCUCGGAGCGGGAGUUCAAAUCUCCCCCUCUCCG
rnacentral:tRNA from 1 species